GACGAACGCUGGCGGCGUGCUUAACACAUGCAAGUCGAACGGAAAGGCCCUGCUUUUGUGGGGUGCUCGAGUGGCGAACGGGUGAGUAACACGUGAGUAACCUGCCCUUGACUUUGGGAUAACUUCAGGAAACUGGGGCUAAUACCGGAUAGGAGCUCCUGCUGCAUGGUGGGGGUUGGAAAGUUUCGGCGGUUGGGGAUGGACUCGCGGCUUAUCAGCUUGUUGGUGGGGUAGUGGCUUACCAAGGCUUUGACGGGUAGCCGGCCUGAGAGGGUGACCGGAAACAUUGGGACUGAGAUACGGCCCAGACUCCUACGGGAGGCAGCAGUGGGGAAUAUUGCACAAUGGGCGGAAGCCUGAUGCAGCAACGCCGCGUGCGGGAUGACGGCCUUCGGGUUGUAGACCGCUUUCGCCUGUGACGAAGCGUGAGUGACGGUAAUGGGUAAAGAAGCACCGGCUAAAUACGUG
rnacentral:rRNA from 1 species